AAAUAUGAACAUGUAAAAGAGUUUGAUUCCAAUGACAAGAAGAAAACAAUGGAUGAAUGGAGUUGUUGGGGGUUUACAAUUUCAUCUAAUCUGUUCUCUCUUAUUUACUCCUCUUGAAUUAUUAGCUUGAUUAAUUAAUUGUCAUGCAACUUUCUUAGCCUACCCUUAACCCGAUCCCUCGGCGAAAAGAGCCUAAUACUAAUUACUGGCUUGCUAUCCCUAGCCUCCCCUAGCAAUUAAUACAGCAUUAUAGAGCAGAAGUUGAACCCAAUUGAUCGUCCUACCCCUAUCCCUAGGUGGUAUUGCAUAAUCAAGAAAUUACUCACCAGUUCAUGACAUUACUGUACGUCCCCGUAUCAAUAAAGACAAACGUCAGUUAUCG
rnacentral:lncRNA from 1 species